rnacentral:rRNA from 1 species
CAGCCGCCGCGGGAAUACGAAGGGGGCUAGCGUUGUUCGGAAUUACUGGGCGUAAAGCGUGCGCAGGCGGUGUUGUAAGACUGAUGUGAAAUCCCCGGGCUCAACCUGGGAACUGCAUUGGUGACUGCAACGCUGGAGUGCGGCAGAGGGGGAUGGAAUUCCGCGUGUAGCAGUGAAAUGCGUAGAUAUGCGGAGGAACACCGAUGGCGAAGGCAAUCCCCUGGGCCUGCACUGACGCUCAUGCACGAAAGCGUGGGGAGCAAACAGGAUUAGAUACCCCCGUAGUCCCUGUCUCUUAUAC